rnacentral:rRNA from 1 species
GACGAACGCUGGCGGCGUGCUUAACACAUGCAAGUCGAGCGGAAAGGCCUCUUCGGGGGUACUCGAGCGGCGAACGGGUGAGUAACACGUGAGUAAUCUGCCUCUGGCUUCGGGAUAGCCACCGGAAACGGUGAUUAAUACCGGAUACGACACAUCACUGCAUGGUGCGUGUGUGGAAAGUUUUUUCGGUCAAGGAUGGACUCGCGGCCUAUCAGCUAGUUGGUGAGGUAACGGCUCACCAAGGCGACGACGGGUAGCCGGCCUGAGAGGGUGACCGGCCACACUGGGACUGAGACACGGCCCAGACUCCUACGGGAGGCAGCAGUGGGGAAUAUUGCACAAUGGGCGCAAGCCUGAUGCAGCAACGCCGCGUGAGGGAUGACGGCCUUCGGGUUGUAAACCUCUUUUAGUAGGGAAGAAGCGAAAGUGACGGUACCUGCAGAAAAAGCACCGGCUAACUACGUGCCAGCCGCCGCGGUAAGAC